AAGAUGGUGUAAAGAUGUUGUCAUCCGCAUUAUAUUUACUUACAACAGGCCAAAGUAAAAGAUUCCUCGGAAAUAUCCGUCACACUAGCGACUAUACCAGACAGAAACGGAAUCAACUGUGAAAAGGGUUCCGUGGAGACGGCAGAACGGUUUUGUUUGUUCUGAGACAUUAGGGGAGCCGGGCAGCUGAGGAAUCUGACUUAGGCAGCUUUGAAAUUCAUAACCCCCUUUACGACUCUCAUUCUCACUCGCAGCCACACUCUUCAUUUUCAUGAAAUUAUACUUGUGAAUUUUAAUCGUAUUCAACACCCAUCUUUCGAUCUGGAUCUCUUUGCUUUAUGAGGGGUUAGAUGAGUAGGACAACUACAAUGGAAUCCUGCGGAGGAGGUAACAGUUCUAGUUCGGCUGCAGGGCAGCGGUUACGCUGGACAAAUGAGCUACACGAACGCUUUGUGGAUGCUGUGGCCCAGCUUGGUGGGCCAGAUAGGGCAACUCCUAAAGGUGUUCUUAGAGUGAUGGGUGUACAAGGUUUGACUAUAUACCAUGUCAAAAGCCACUUACAAAAAUACCGGCUUGCUAAAUGCCUUCCUGAUUCUACAUCUGAUGGGCAAAGUGUUGAGAGAAAAGAAUCAGGAGACCUGUUAUCGAGCUCGGAGGGUUCUUCUGGAAUGCAGAUUACGGAAGCACUGAAGCUGCAGAUGGAGGUACAGAAGCGUCUGCAUGAACAACUGGAGGUACAAAGGCAGCUUCAGUUAAGGAUUGAAGCGCAAGGGAAGUACCUUAAGAAAAUAAUUGAAGAGCAGCAGCGCCUUGGUGGUGCUCUUGCCGAAGUCCCCAGCUCAGUAAUCCCGACUCCUGCCUCAGCUGAAAACUUCCAGGAAUCUGAGGACAAGACGGACCCAUCAACUCCUGGUCCAACUUCUGAGUCCCCCAUCCGGACCAAAGUUGUCCAAGAAAAUGUUCCAAAUCAUCCCAAGAGUCUCACUUGCAAUGAAUCUUCAUCUUCCCGCCACGAGCCACUGACACCAGAUUCUGGUUGUCGCUUUGGUUCCCCAGUUGAGAGCCCAAAAGGUCAGAGGUGGUUCGACAAUCUGGGACCACAGAUAACAGGCCCUGCAGAUAGAAAACCGGAGAUGUUUCUAACACAUCAGAUACUGGAAUCGAGUUCGAAUUCAAGCUAUCAGCAACCUUGCUCAGUAUUUCCAGAUGAGGGAACAUUCUUAUCUCUAGGCAAGGAGUUUAGUCAGUGAAAAGGAUCAGGUUGACGAUGUUUCAGGCUGUUAAAUGUCUAUUAGGGGUGGUGGUCGAGUUUUCUUUUGUCGAAGGAUCACCAAGCUGUUAUCUCAUCUUCUUGUUGCCCCACAUACUAAGCAUGUCAUGAGCUGAAGGGGGUUGCGUGCAUAGGGACAUAGUAUUUCACCAUCAUGAGACGAGUAUGUGAAAGAAGAAGCGGAGUUUCUGGGUUGUGUUACUGUUGGGUCUAAUUCUAGAUUACUAUUUCAAGGAGUAUCAUAAUUUUGGACUUCGUCAAUUUGUAUCAUCAAUGUCAGGUUUUAUCAAUGAAGAAUGGGCUAAUGGACUGGUUUUUAGCGUCAUGAGAUCCUACUUAGGUAGGGAUUUGUUAAAAUACUAUGAAUCUGAUUCUUCCUUAAGAGAUUUUUGAAUUAAGGAUUAUAUUAAUUCAAUUUUUUAAGAUGUCUUUGCAA